GGCUUUAUAGCUCGGUUGGUUAGAGCGUCGCACCGGUAUCGCAAGCUCAUGGGUUCAAACUCCAUUAAAGUCC
rnacentral:tRNA from 1 species